AGUUCCAGGAGGAGGGCGCAUGGGGUGAGCUCAGGGCAGAAGGCUUUUGUUCCAAAGCCCCUCUGACCUGAACGCACACACUCACAGCGUGCCCUGUAUCUGGCUCAGAAGCCGUCGCUCCGAAGAAGCCUUCAGACUACCAAGCAGAGUAAUUCCUCAGAAUUGUCCCACGUUGUCCUAGAGAAGUCGUCUUUAUAGGCAUGGAGUAGGGUGUCUGCAGGCCUCCAGUCAAUUCCAACCGAUUUCAACUGCCAAAGUUAAAAGUUGCCAUUGCAGUUACUGUCGGACCAAAGUAACCCCUGAGAACUCUCCACAUUUGUAAAACGGACUGAAAGGUUCAGUGGCGUUUCCCACCUGGAACAGGACUAGUAAUGCUUUGAACGUGAAGAGGUAUUAAUGGCCACUUGCCCUUUAAACCACAGAGGGACAGCUGAGCACAGUGACCUUCUAGCCCAACUUGAGAGAAGCAGGAAAUGGGGUCUGAGGCUGAAGGUUCAGAUGAUAAAAUGCCCCUCGGGAAGAUAACGAAAUGCUUCAUCCGAUGGUGGCCCAAGACACCUCUUAAAAUCUAAGGAAAUCGUUUCCCUUUUAAAAAGCUGCUUUGUGGAAAUAACAAGUGAGAUCUUUUCCUGCUGUUUGUCUCUCUGCCUGAAUCCGGACAUAUUUUCUCUCACAGAUGUCAAUCUUUUGCUAAAAGUCUAUAAAUGAUAUUUCUUUUAAUAGUCCUAAAACAUAAACUACUGUUUCCUCC
rnacentral:lncRNA from 1 species